AUUCCAGCUCCAAUGGCGUAUAUUAAAGUUGUUGCAGUUAAAAAGCUCGUAGUUGGAUUUCUGGCGGGAGCGACCGGUCGGCCCUUGUGGUGUGUACUAGCGUUGCGUCCGGCCAUAUUUGCGGAGAGCGUGUGUGGCAUUAAUUUGUCGUGCACGGGACCCGCAUCGUUUACUGUGAGAAAAUUAGAGUGUUCAAAGCAGGCUUAUGCCUUGGAUAUGUUAGCAUGGAAUAAUAAGAUAAGACUUUGGCGGUCUAUUUUGUUGGUUUGCACGCCAUUGUAAUGAUUGAUAGGGACAGUUGGGGGUAUUCAUAUUUAAUUGUCAGAGGUGAAAUUCUUGGAUUUAUGAAAGAUGAACUACUGCGAAAGCAUUUACCAAGGAUGUUUUCAUCG
rnacentral:rRNA from 1 species